GCGCUGCUCCUCGCUCAGUCCGGUGCAUCUGCGGAAGUGGACGCCGCGGGCAAGCCGAAGUGGACGACCCGACUGCGUUGGCGCGUGUGUCGGCGCGAGGCAGGCGUCACGCACCAGUGCUCAGUUUCUUC
rnacentral:SRP_RNA from 1 species